CUGGCUCAGGAUGAACGCUAGCGGCAGGCUUAACACAUGCAAGGUCGAGGGGCAUCGGGAGUAGCAAUACUGCCGGCGACCGGCGCAAGGGUGCGUAACGCGUGAGCAACAUGCCCGUAUCAGGGGGGAUAAUCCAUGGAAACGUGGUCUAAUACCCCAUAGUAAUUAUGUAAGGCAUCUUAUAUAAUUUAAAGCUUUGGUGGAUACGGAUUGGCUCGCGUGACAUUAGCUAGAUGGUAAGGUAACGGCUUACCAUGGCUACGAUGUCUAGGGGUUCUGAGAGGAAGGCCCCCCACACUGGAACUGAGACACGGUCCAGGCUCCUACGGGAGGCAGCAGUGAGGAAUAUUGGACAAUGGAUGGAAAUCUGAUCCAGCCAUGCCGCGUGCAGGAAGACGGCCCUAUGGGUUGUAAACUGCUUUUGUAUGGGAGCAAUAAGGGCUACGCGUAGUCCGAUGAGAGUACCAUACGAAUAAGCACCGGCUAACUCCGUGCCAGCCGCCGC
rnacentral:rRNA from 1 species